rnacentral:rRNA from 1 species
UGGCGAACGGGUGAGUAAUACAUCGGAACGUGUCCUGUAGUGGGGGAUAGCCCGGCGAAAGCCGGAUUAAUACCGCAUACGCUCUACGGAGGAAAGGGGGGGAUCUUAGGACCUCCCGCUACAGGGGCGGCCGAUGGCAGAUUAGCUAGUUGGUGGGGUAAAGGCCUACCAAGGCGACGAUCUGUAGCUGGUCUGAGAGGACGACCAGCCACACUGGGACUGAGACACGGCCCAGACUCCUACGGGAGGCAGCAGUGGGGAAUUUUGGACAAUGGGGGCAACCCUGAUCCAGCAAUGCCGCGUGUGUGAAGAAGGCCUUCGGGUUGUAAAGCACUUUUGUCCGGAAAGAAAACGCCGUGGUUAAUACCCGUGGCGGAUGACGGUACCGGAAGAAUAAGCACCGGCUAACUACGUGCCAGCAGCCGCGGUAAUACGUAGGGUGCAAGCGUUA